rnacentral:lncRNA from 1 species
CAGUAACUAGGUAUAUGUAUUCCUAUUGUAGUUAAAAACAAACAAACAAAAACUACCCAGGUUUUGAAACUCUGGAGACGUGAGUCUCUCGGCUCCUAAGGGCUGAGAAAGACUGGCAGAUUCUGCUAGAAAUUCAGAGCGCCAAAAAGUCAAAAGCAAUGACCUUAAACACAGCAACUUCCCCUGUGCCACCAAUGUAUUUUGCCGUGUGUACAAGAACCAACAUUGAUUUAGUUUAAUAAUUUGUUUACCAAUUCUGAGCGUGCUUGGUCAGAAGAGUGAACACACUUCACGGAAGAUAAAUAACGGCUGCCCGGCUGCCAAAUGGAUUCGUUCACAAAGCAGAUGAAUUCUGCAAGGUCCUUGAGAGUACUGAUGGAAAAUUCUGAUUCCUAAUUGAUCAGUGCUGGUCUUCCUCCAUCACAGCUUGUAGCACUUAGGGAGGUUGGUCACGAAGCCCAGAAAGUCACAUGAGCUGCUUCACCAAGAAGGGAAAUGUGUUUUAAAGGCACAGGCUCCUUUCUGAACCCAAAGCGUGGGGGCUGCUGAAUUUCAGAGUGGAAUGGGAUCAGGCCUAGAGUUUGUUGGGCCCUCGAGGGGUCCACUCCCAGGGAUUCUGGUUUCUUUCUCCUGCGGUUUGUUAGUCUUUCCUCCGUUGCAGAAGGGCCAUCUCCGCAUCCUACUCAACACAGGUCCAAAUGGCACCCAACAGCGCGCCAACGUUGGCCUCCGCCCCACUCAAGUGACUCUGUCUUAAAGCCUGGCCACGGCCCCAGGGAAGGGGCGAAGACCUCACUGCUGCAGGGGUAACAAAGAAAACGUCCCAAUGGCUUGAGUCCAGAAGGUGGCGUCUUGCCGUGGCUGCAGCUCUGUGCCAAGGGC